rnacentral:rRNA from 1 species
UACGUAGGGUGCAAGCGUUAAUCGGAAUUACUGGGCGUAAAGCGUGCGCAGGCGGUUUUGCAAGACAGAUGUGAAAUCCCCGGGCUUAACCUGGGAAUGGCAUUUGGGACUGCAAGGCUGGAGUGUGGCAGAGGAGACUGGAAUUCCCGGUGUAGCAGUGAAAUGCGUAGAUAUCAGGAGGAACACCAAUGGCGAAGGCAGCACUCUGGGACGUGACUGACGCUGAGACGCGAAAGCGUGGGGAGCAAACAGG